CCGCACGCUGCACACCCCGGGCUUCUCCGAGAUCUCAAUUCUCAAUGACGUGAAAGCCCCGAUGCACGUGCUAGAUCGCCGCCGUUCGUGUUGCAGUCUAGCCCCAUUUUCAUUUUGGCUAAUUCUGUGUCAAAGCAAUGGCCAAAUCC